rnacentral:sRNA from 1 species
UUCUUUUUUCUUCUUUUUUU